GGCGGGGCGGGAGGGGAAGGGAGGGACGGGUCUUUUUGUUCUGGGGACUCUGCCCAGGGUCGCGGGGCAGGGACGCAGAGCCUAGCCCGCACUUCUGCUCCCACGCGACCCAGAGGUCGCCUGAGGGCAGGGCCGGGGACCGCGACCUGCCAAGUCGUAGGGAUGGCCUGAGCAGGCUUGGCCGCCCUAGAGCGGGGUGUCGGGUUGCCCACGCAUCCAGAUAAACACUAGCGUGGAGGGAGCAUUCCUGAAGCUUUGACCUGAGCCAGGGCCCGAGUACAUGUUUCCGCCCUCCCACUUACUAGCUUAUGACCUUGGGAAAGCCCGGUUGCUUCACUGGAGCUUGUUUCCUCGGCCAUAAAAUUAAGAGGUUGGGCUAGAGAAUCUCCACAGUCCCAAACAGAUGUGAAAUUCUUUUCCUUUCUAGAACUCUCCCUUCUUUUAUCUAGAAAACAAAAACCUCCUUGACACCAGGUACCGAUGCCACAUUUUGUGGGAGAACCACCUCCUCUCUUAAAAUAUAAAGCCUCCCCGGGAGUUCCGCAGAAAUCUGUAAAAAUGUAAUAUGUGGAGCGGUACACAAAUGGAAAGCUGCUCCUAAACAGCGCUCAGAACUUUGUACCUCUUUAUAGUACAGAUCAGACUCCGCUGCAAACCCAGGCAACAUUAGACUCCCCGCUUAACUCCCGGAAGGCAGAGAGCUUGGCUUGUUUAUCCAGCAUCCCUACAGUGGCCCAGCCCUUCUAGCAGGAGGGGUUGGGGGGGUGGUAUAGUGAUAGUCCUUGGUUCAGGGGGUAGAUGCAUGAUCCAAACACCCACAGCCAGCUAAAAGUUAUCAAGCUGAUGCAAUCAGAAUUUUGCUGGGGCUGGGCUUGGUGACUCACGCCUGUAAUCCCGGCUUUGGGAGGCAGAGAUGGCGGAUCACCUGAGGUCAGAAGUUCGAGACCAGCCUGGCCAACAGGGCGAAACUCCGACACUACUGGCUUGGUCUGCAAAUGGAGAGCUCCCUCAAGAGUGCCCUUUCCAGAGAGAAGCCCUCACCUCUGCCCUGUGUGAUGUCUCAGAAGCCACUACCAGAUAGCCACGGUUUCUGCAGUCAAAGCCGUGCUGGAGGGGACAGAGGUGGGCCUCUGGAGCCAGACCCCCUGGGGCUGACUCCUGCUUCCACUUUAGUCGGCCCUUGAACAACAGGGGUUUGGACUGCAUGAGUCUACUUACAUGUGGAUUUUUUUCAACAAAAGUUACACUAAA